rnacentral:lncRNA from 1 species
AAAGACAAAAUUGCCCUUUAAAAUUUUUGAAAUUACAACAUUACCCUUGAUGUUAUAAAACCCUAAAAACUUAAAAUGAUGCUCAUUUGUGCGUGGUGGCUGGCCGGCUUCUUCAACAGCAGAGGUCUUCUUCAGUGGCAAUCUCUUGCAAUAGCUUCUUCUUCCAAAUCUCAUCCAUCUCACAUUCAUAAAGGUACAUUCAUGUGUUCCGGACUUUGGUAUCCGUUUUUUUCAUGGAUUGUUGUUUCCGUAAAUGUUAUUUCACAUUCCAAAUCACAGAAUCCGGUAAGUUUUCGAAUUUGGGGAUCUGGUAGUUUACCGGAUUUGUGGAUCCGUUAGUUUUUCGGAUGUAAGGAUCCGGUAGUAUUCCGGAUUUAGGAAUCCAGUAGUGUUCCGGAUUUAGGAAUCCGGUAGUGUUUCGGAUUUAGGUGAAGUUUAAGUAGAGUCACACCAAAGAAAAGAAGAAGCUGCUGCUGCAGGUUUUUCUGUUGGUUGAUAAGCAUAUUGCUGAUUCUGAUUGUGGCCAUUGCCAUCACAGUUGGGAUAUUAUACUAUUAGAAUUCAGAGCAGUAGUAAGAACUUAUUACUUGCUUAUUUAAAUAAUACAUGCUCAAUUGCAAUUAAUGUAAUUUGUUUAUAAUUGUAGGGUCUUUGUAGAAGAAUAGCAUCCACCUUGCAGUUGAUUAUAGAUGAUGGUCAUCUAACCGAGGAUUCACCUGCAUGGGAAGGGACACAGACAGCCUUGAUGCUAGCCCGAUCAGCCACUGAGGACAUGUCUGUGUAUGUCCGCAAACGACGACACGGACGUUGAUGAUGAUCAUCAUUUUAGUUGUUGUUAUGUUUUUUAAUUUCGUGAAGAAAGACUUAGUUUACAAUUAUUUUUUAAUUUGAUGAAUGAACACUUUGGUUAUGAAAUUAGACAAUUCUUCUUGCGCAUUUAUAAUAGUUAGAGUGUUAACAUAUUCAUUUAUCAAUGCAAUUACAACUAUAAAUGUCGUCUAAUGGACAUAAUUUGUGUAAACAUUUGCAUCCGACUAGUAUAAUAUGAACACCAUGUUUGGGCAAUUGGAUAACAAUGAGUAGACCAUAAAAUAUCUGUUGGUG